UACAGAGGUCUCAAGCGUUGCUCGGAAUCACUGGGCGUAAAGCGCACGUAGGCGGCUUCUUAAGUCAGGGGUGAAAUCCUGGAGCUCAACUCCAGAACUGCCUUUGAUACUGGCGAUCUCGAGUCCGGGAGAGGUGAGUGGAACUGCGAGUGUAGAGGUGAAAUUCGUAGAUAUUCGCAAGAACACCAGUGGCGAAGGCGGCUCACUGGCCCGGUACUGACGCUGAGGUGCGAAAGCGUGGGGAGCAAACAGG
rnacentral:rRNA from 1 species